GAGAAGACUCAGAAGAGGUGAGUGUUAACACCUCCGCAGGGGCGGAACCUGUCUCAGGUCGCAUUGUGGGGGCACUGAGAUGGUGUAUAGAUGGCUGGUUCCGUAACCCCAUACCUGGCGUCCGCCGGAUAUGGGGGCGGGGAGGGUUUGUUCCGUGACCCCCACCCAUCCCUGCACGCCUGCGCAGACUCCAUUGGGGCUGCGUUGGGGGACUCAGGGAGUCUGCGAAAGGUUGCAAGACGCCGCCCAGCGGUGGCUACACCGUCGAUCCUGCCUCUGGUCAGGAAGAGGGAGACCUGGAGGAAGUCACUGAAGCUGUCAUCCUUCUGUCCAGUGCCUGAGAGCCUAGGGCCAGCAGCUAUGGCUUUUUCUGUCCCGGUCUUCACCAGUGGGGACCGUUGGUGGGAC
rnacentral:lncRNA from 1 species